AUUGAACGCUGGCGGCAGGCCUAACACAUGCAAGUCGAACGAGUGGCGGACGGGUGAGUAAUGUCUGGGAAACUGCCCGAUGGAGGGGGAUAACUACUGGAAACGGUAGCUAAUACCGCAUACCAUCGGAUGUGCCCAGAUGGGAUUAGCUAGUAGGUGGGGUACCGGCUCACCUAGGCGACGAUCCCUAGCUGGUCUGAGAGGAUGACCAGCCAAACUGGAGCUGAGACACGGUCCAGACGCCGACGGGAGGCAUCAGGGGGGAAUAUUGUACAAGGGGCGCAAGCCUGAUGCAGCCAUUCCGCGUGUAUGAUGAAGGCCUGCGGGUUGGAAAGUACUUUCAGCGGGGAGGAGUUUCACGCAGAAGAAGCACCGGCUAACUCCGUGCCAGCAGCCGCGGUAAUAC
rnacentral:rRNA from 1 species